UGGCAGGCUAGUCUGGGUAGGCCGGCGUUACCUGUAACUCGAAAUCGCCGAUAUGCGGGAGACGAAGCUGAAGGAAGCCACCAGGAUCAUUUUCAAGCCUGUGAUCUCAACUAAGAAACUCCGUCCUGUUUGGAUGAUGUUGCUAGAGAGGUUGGUUGGAGAAUCGGCCCUCUAUCUUUACCGCGGAAACCGGUCGAGGCCCGGAAGGGAGCAGACUUACCGCGAACAUACAUCGCUCUCAGGGUUGCGGGGUGGAGGCGAGGCCGCAGUCCACUGGAAAAUGAGAAUGGUGGCAACCUGAAGCAUGCCUGCCA
rfam:Methanohalophilus mahii DSM 5219, complete genome.